UUUAUGCUUGUGUGAAGUUGAUGCAUCUAAUUGUGCCUUGUUUGAGCUUGUUUUGCCUUGCCUUGCCUUAGUGAAUUUAAUUGCCAUACUUCCACUUAUCCAAAUGACUUGAUUUUUGGUAUGAUGAUCAUGUGAUGAAUGCUGUUUAGCCAUGAUUUUUCUGGAGAUUUAUUGAAUCAUGUUUGAGUUGAUGUGGAUUGGUUCAUUCUGUU
rnacentral:lncRNA from 1 species